AUGAAGGAAGGAAGAAAGGAACGAUCUCCUUCUCUUAGAAGGCUUUUCUGCCCUCUGCCUCUCCUCAUUUAUCCAAGAUACUUCAACAACAGAGGAAUGAUAACUCUAACAGGACUGAUGAAGAGGUAUUUUGUUCCCAAGAAAUGGUCCAUGGAUUGUCUAACUUGGGAAUAUCAGUAAACAAUGGCAGAGAGGUGCUAAAUGCAUAAACCUCGAACUCCUGACCUCAAAUGAUCCACCCACCUUGGCCUCCCAAAGUGCUGGGAUUACAGGCAUGAGCCACCGCGACCGGCUUCACGUUGUAUUUUCACUAGGUGUGCCAUGUCCGUCUUCCCUUCUAAACUUGGAGCUCCUCAGGGACAAUUAGCAAGACUAGUUUUCUCCAUGUCAUCUAUGCCUAACAUAAAAUCUAUCAUGUAAUAGGCACUCAGUCAUUGCCUUAACUGUCUUCUUUAUUUUUCUGAUUUCAACUCUGCCUGCUGUGAUAAGGUAAGUGUUAAUUGUCCCUAUUUAAAAGUGAGAAAAGUGAAACUUGAAGGUUUUAGUAUCUUGUUCAAGAAUACACAGCUUCUAAGACAGAAAGCCCGCAAAUAGUCCUAGGAUGGCCAAAUUCCCAUCCUAUGGUAAAGCACAGUCCUAGAGCAAUCUUCAUCAAUUCUUGUGUUCAACAAACACUUAUUAAGAUAUGCCUUAUAGAAUUUUGAGCUUGGGGAGCUUAUAAGAAAAGAAACCCAUAAUAUCCCUUUCCUCCUGAUCAGUUACUACAUCCACGUUAACUUACACCUCCCUCAUUCAUUAAACUCCCUAGGCACAGCUAUUCACUGACAGAGAAAGAUUGAUAAGAUACAUCCAAAAAAUAAAAAAGGCUUCAAUUGGCUGUCAGAACUUUAAUUAAAACACUUAUAGAUCAACUUCACUCCAGCAAAUUGUCUGUGCCACUAUUACUAUAGUAAGAUGAAUGUUCACUGGGAAAACAGACAGAGCACUCUGCCCUGGACUAAUGUGUAAUUUCAUAGCCAUUGAUUUUUCACUUUAAAAAUUCUUCCCUGACUAUUGGGAAUUGGAACUUGUUCUGGGUGACCUGGAAGCAAUGUUACAUUUUUUUCUUUUAUGAAUAUGGAAGACCAUUUCCUAAGCCCAUUCAUAUUUUAUCUUCAUUGCCCUGACUCAAAACUAAACUGAAGUUGUAUGAGAUUGUUGAAGGCCUCAGAUGGAAGUUUCUGAGGACAAACAAUGGAAAGAGGAAUUUGAGAAGCUAAAGGGAAAUGGACAAGGAAAAGGAAAGGCCAGAGGAAGAAAAUGAAUAAGAAAUGGGCAAGAUAGGCUGGGCGCGGUGGCACACACCUGUAAUCCCAGCACUUUGGGAGGUCAAGGCAGGCAGAUCACAAGAUCAGGAGUUUAAGACCAGCCUGGCCAAUAUGGUGAAACCCCAUCUCUACUAAAAACACAAAAAUUAGCUGGGCAUGGUGGCAUGCCCCUGUAGUAGUCCCAGCUACUCGGGAGGCUGAAGCAGAAGAAUCGCUUGAACCAGGGAGGCAGAGAUUGCAGUGAGCUGAGAGUGUGCCACUGCAGUCCAGCCUGGGGGACAGAGUGAGACUCUGUCUCAUAAAAAAAAAAAGAAAGAAAGAAAGAAAUGGGCAAGAUAACUGGAAAAGAGAGGUUGAAUAUUUUAAAUAAGGCUGUCAUUAAAGUCUGAAAAAUAGACUUAUUUAAAUGACAAUUUCAAGUAAAAAUUAUUACAAAUUCAUUGGGAAAAAUUAUUUUUAAAAAUAAUUCAUCUAAUUUACUAAGUAAACUUUUAUAGAAUGCCUGCUAU
ensembl:lncRNA